rnacentral:rRNA from 1 species
UAUCUCUGUAGAGUCUGCAUAUCAAUAAGCGGAGGAAAAGAAACUAACUAGGAUUCCCUCAGUAACGGCGAGUGAAGCGGGAAGAGCUCAAAUUUGAAAUCUUCAAGGUUCUACCUUGACGAACUGUAGUUUAAAGAAGUGUUUUCUGUUGGAGUUUUGGUAAAAGUUCUUUGGAAUAGGACAUCAUAGAGGGUGAGAAUCCCGUAUUUGACCAUUAUUUCCAGCUUUGUGAUACACUUUCAAAGAGUCGGAUUGUUUGGGAAUGCAGUCCAAAAUGGGUGGUAAAUUUCAUCUAAAGCUAAAUAUUGGCGAGAGACCGAUAGCGAACAAGUACCGUGAGGGAAAGAUGAAAAGAACUUUGAAAAGAGAGUUAAACAGUACGUGAAAUUGUCAAAAGGGAAGCGUUUGACACCAGUGUUGUUUUCUCGAAAAUCAAUUAAAAAAGGCAGGAUUUUGUGUUGUAUUGACUUUAUCAGCUUUCUGCACUCUUUUCUUGUCUUUUUUAAUGCACUUUUCGUUUAACAAGUCAACAUCGAUUUCUUUUGUUGUAAAAGGGUCAUUGGAAGGUGGCUUUCUUUUCGGAGAAAGUGUUUAUAGCCUUUGGCCUCUGCAAUCGGAGAGAUUGAGGUCUGCAGCGUAGAUCCUUCGGGGUUAGAUACAUUUGUGCUAAGUUAUAGCCUUUCAUAGACAACUUGUUGACUAUGAUCAGUCAUGUAGCUUACUCGCUUAUGCUAUUUUACCUACGCUUAGGAUGUUGAAGUCAUCGUAUCGCGC